AAAUGCCACCAUGAACUGCAGUUACAAAACUAGUAUAAACAAUUUACAGUGGUAUAGACAAAAUUCAGGUAGAGGCCUUGUCCACCUAAUUUUAAUACGUUCAAAUGAAAGAGAGAAACACAGUGGAAGAUUAAGAGUCACGCUUGACACUUCCAAGAAAAGCAGUUCCUUGUUGAUCACGGCUUCCCGGGCAGCAGACACUGCUUCUUACUUCUGUGCUGUGGGGAUAACUAUGGUCAGAAUUUUGUCUUUGGUCCCGGAACCAGAUUGUCCGUGCUGCCGAUAUCCAGAACCCUGACCCUGCCGUGUACC
rnacentral:lncRNA from 1 species